CCAAUCACAGGCCUCGGAUCCUUCAACACAUGUUGUCAAAGAAGAGCUCUAGCAUCUUAUUUAUGUCUUUAUUUUAUUAUUAUUUACAACUUUGUGGUUAAGCAUCUUUGAUGGGCAUAACAUUAAGAGGAUUUCAUGCGAAAGUAAGAAAAAGUGCACCUUGAUAUGGCGAGGCCAGUCAUCCGUCUUCAAAACCCCACUGCUCCAGAGGGUCGUCAGCAGGCCUUAUUGGUGGCGACAAAUGGGGCCCGUGACUGCAGAAACAGGAGAAUGAGUUUUCCUCUUCCCCCUCCUCAGCUGCUCUGUGAUUCCACUGCACUGGCCCAUGCUGAAAGAGCACUACGUACUGAAGGGAUAAGAGCACCAUCACGACAGCAGUGUCUGGGGAAGAGGGUGCUACCCUUUGGCCAGUAUCUCAACGCACCAUCUCACUGGCUUGUGUCAAAUGAUCUGGGCUACAUGAAGUAUUUGAUCGACAAGCACAGAGAAGAACUCUCUUAAAUGGAAAGGGGCAAGCACAAAAUCAGUGGAUAAAAGACCACCUGACAGAGUAUGCAGAGAGCUUUCCAGAAGUUUCAAUCGCCCUGGAAGCCAACAUCCACCGAUGUGUUUACGGACAGAAAGGGUUUGAGAGCCAUAGCUUCCAGGAGAUGUGGGAGCUCUACAGCCAGUAUUCUGCACAGAAGGACAGGCCUGGUGAUUUUGGUACGAGUCAGAGGGAAACAAUACAGAAGGCAUACAGCUCUGUUAGCCGGUGGCUAAAUACACCUAUAACACACAUCACAAGUGUGCAGAUGAAAAGAUUUAGAUAAUACAUUUAUGACAAGAAGACACAAGUCGAGCUGGAGGGCUGGGUGUGACUGUGGGAAAAUCCCAAUGGCAUUCCACCAGCUGAUCUUUCCUGGGUGAAGGAUGACACAGAGCGUGGACUCUUUGGCCCCAUUCAGGUGUAUCGUGACAAUGCUGGGGUAUUGAAGAGGCGGCGAGUACUAAAAUCAGACCGCGUGUGGUUUUACCCUCCAGAACCUCCAGGCUACAUCAGUGGUACUGUGCCAACUCCACAUCUCUUCUUUCGCGGUCACAUCUUUGUGUGGCGGCCUGUUGGAGUUUGGAAAUACUCACUGAAGUGUCCUCGAGGAGAAGAAUGUGUGGGUCAAGGUAUAAACGUGUACCUCUACAAAUCAGGCUUCCAUACCAAGGUAUUACAUGUUGUUAAUUAGAUAUUUAUUAUUACAGUUUGGAAUAAUUAAAUACAAUUGAAUGAAUUGUUAUUACGUAAAUACACCAACAUAUCAAAGUAAACAAUGUUGCCAGAUUUUUUUUAUUGCAGGUUCGUCAUGUUUGUGACGUUUCCGGCUGGUACUGUAUAUUAAAAGAGGUCCUGUGCUACGGACCAUGUACAAAAGCAGCCAGGGGUGGUGGUAGUUGAGAUGGUGGUCUAGUGGGUUAAACCACUGAACUGGUUAAUCAAAGGUUGCUGGUUCGAUCCCAGCAGCCACCACCAGUGUGUCCUUGAGCAAGACACUUUACUCCAUGUUGCUCCAGGGGGAUUGUCCCUGUAAUAAGUGCACUGUAAGUUGCUUUGGAUAAAAGCGUCUGCCAAAUGACUAAAUGUAAAUGUAAAUGGUAGUUGAAAGGUGGGCAGGUGGUUGGCGUGGGAUUCUGCCAUUCUUUGUCAACUCAGUGAGGCUCACCAAGGCAUGUUUCCUGUUAUUCUGACAGACAUGUGAGUACACUGGAGAGUGGCGUAAACGCAACUAACGUGCCUGGAAUUAGUUGCCAUAUUAAAAAUCACACUUUACAGGCGUGGUGUGGACAAAAAUGUGGUGCGGCUUUUGAGGGACCGGACUGAAGGGAACACCAUGGUUAAAGUGUGGCGUCAAAUUCAGGAGAAUCAUGUUGAGGAGUAUCUCCACAGGAAAGACCUUUACACUACACUCCUCAUGACUCUCCUGAAGCCUGGGUGAAUUGUGUCGGCCUUAGGACACACGUUUGAGGCUCCACCUCCUCAAAGAGAGCUUCCCUCUGCUCGCCUGCUUCGCCAUGCUUUCCUUCUGGCGGAGGCCAACAACGUACAGGACUACAGGAACCAGAUUCUCUCCACUUUUGGCAAUGUGCUAAAGAUGGACUCCACUAAAAAGCUUGCAGGUGGUGAAGAAGCUGUCUGGGGAGGGUAAAGGCACGGCGGAGUGGAUUACCAGCAUAGGCAAUGAGCAUUCGCAGAUUGUCUCAUUUGUUCUUACCUGUGAAGAGUCCACUCAGUGUCUGAAGCCCAUGUGUCAGGGAGUAAUGGACCGCUUCCACCAGGCCAAUCAACCUGUGCCCAACAUCUUGUACAUUGACCGCGGGUGUUGUCGGGCACAAGACCCAAGCACUGUGGAGAGCUUAUUCCAGACGCGGGUGGAGAAUGGUAUGGUGGUGCGUUUGGACAUCUUCCACUGGAUACAUCGCUUUGAUGCCAGUCGCCAUUCGCACAGACAGCCACUCAAAGUACGCUGUGUUCAAGUCUGCCCUAGCAGGAGCGGUGCUGGCCUACAACCGCGCAGACUUGGAGCUGCUCAUCAAAGCUUUUAGAGCGAAGGACCCAACCGUUUUUGACACCGUGGCUGAUGAAGACAUGGUGCGACUCAUGGUGAUCCUCCAGAGAUGAGCAUGUACAGAGUGACUCAUACUACCAACAUCAAUGGGAUGGACGUUCCUUAUUUCAAAUGUCUCCGUGGGAACAACAGCCUGUAAGGAUUCCACAAAACUCUGCCUCACAUGAGACCAGGUCCCCACUGUGCUGCACGUCCAUAUCAAGUUUACCUGAUUAGUGGAAUAGCUCGGUGGAACUCAGACUGCAGCUCUGAUGCUGUGUUUGGUGGCAAAGGCAGAAAACUCAGAUCCUACUCUGCGCCUCUGAUUGAGCGCCUCAACACUCGCUGCCAGCAGCAAACCGUGGAGAAGAAUUUCCGUGCCCCUGCUGCUGUGACUUGUGGUUCAGCCUGACGAGCCUGACCCCAAUGAGGAGGACGAGGCCUACCAGAGCGACCCUGAGGCAGACCAGGACAGGGUGACUACUGACCCGGCCCACAUAAACCUUACCACGGAGGAGACCACCACUGCUUACCCUCCGGCCUUUGUGACUCAUGUUCUAUUCACCUGAAUGCAUCACUAGCAUUUUUACAAUCUUUUUAGUCUGAGUGAAAACUGACUUUUUACAAAGCCAAUUGAUGCAAAAAAUGUAUCUUAACAAUGGAUUAUUCUACUUUUCAACAGGAGGAUACCUGUAGCCCCAACCCGCUGCCUGGAUUCCAGCAGCUGGAUAAUUUCUGUUCUCUGCUUGUGGAGAUUGGCAAGACUGAGAAUAGGCUGAGCCUGGUGACAGAGCAAAGGAACAGGCUCGUUGCCGCAUGGCACGCUGUAAUGGAACAUGACAAGCAACCACAGAAGUUUCAUCAGCUGUACAGAACACACUGGGGUAACACGUUGUAUUGCCACACAAAGAGGGACGAUCUUGCUGAUGCUGCUGUGAUUCAGCGGGUCAAGAUGGCCAAACGCUACGCACCGGCUCAUGAUCGCUGGUGCCGUGCAGCUACGUAAUUAUUUGCACAUGCUCCUCCCGAACUUUGUUAAUAAAACAUCAUUUCCGGCCACGUCAACCAGCACCACACCCUUGACAGUGUCUUUUUGCCCCACCGACACACCACAGAGUAUUGACACCCCCUCAGCCUGGUCCAGAGCUACAGUGUACAAAAGAAAAAGCACAGACAGUCCUACUCAAGUUGGAGUCAAACUCUCACUUGCCUGUUUGUACGCUUUGCCAACAACCCACUCAGGGACACAAAAAAAUUAAAACAAAGAAUUUUUGUCCUGUGAAAAUGAUGUCGACCUCCAAACGAUUGGACAACAGAGUGUUCACCAGCUAUGAACACUUUACCACAGUUGUGGACUCACAAAAGUGAAGUUUGUUUUGCUGUUGUGAGAUAGAAACACCGUUUUUAUUGUUAUAUAUAUAUAUAUAUAUAUAUAAUGCCGACUAUUGUUCAUUUUAUAAAGUUCAUAUGUGUAUCUUCUGUUAAAUCAACAAAAAUAUAGGAUAUUGUAUAUAUUGCCCUUAAUAUAUAUUUUCUAUGUCACUUACCUAUUUUAUACCUGAUAUAAAUGUGAUGCUUGUCUUGAAUAUGGCAUUUUAUUUAAUUCCAGUUAUAUUUUAUUAAACGUACCUAA